rnacentral:rRNA from 1 species
GACGAACGCUGGCGGCGUGCUUAACACAUGCAAGUCGAACGGAAAGGCCCUGCUUGCAGGGUACUCGAGUGGCGAACGGGUGAGUAACACGUGGGUGAUCUGCCCUGCACUUCGGGAUAAGCCUGGGAAACUGGGUCUAAUACCGGAUAGGAGCCAUUUUUAGUGUGAUGGUUGGAAAGUUUUUUCGGUGUAGGAUGAGCUCGCGGCCUAUCAGCUUGUUGGUGGGGUAAUGGCCUACCAAGACGGCGACGGGUAGCCGGCCUGAGAGGGUGGACGGCCACAUUGGGACUGAGAUACGGCCCAGACUCCUACGGGAGGCAGCAGUGGGGAAUAUUGCACAAUGGGCGCAAGCCUGAUGCAGCGACGCCGCGUGGGGGAUGACGGCCUUCGGGUUGUAAACUCCUUUCGCUAGGGACGAAGCUUUUUGUGACGGUACCUAGAGAAGAAGCACCGGCUAACUACGUG